rnacentral:rRNA from 1 species
CAUGCAGUCGAACGAACCUUCGGGUUAGUGGCGGACGGGUGAGUAACGCGUGAGAAUCUGCCCUCAGGAGGGGGAUAACGGUUGGAAACGACCGCUAAUACCCCAUAUGCCGAGAGGUGAAAUGAAUUUCGCCUGAGGAUGAGCUCGCGUCUGAUUAGUUAGUUGGUGGGGUAAUGGCCUACCAAGACAUCGAUCAGUAGCUGGUCUGAGAGGAUGAUCAGCCACACUGGGACUGAGACACGGCCCAGACUCCUACGGGAGGCAGCAGUGGGGAAUUUUCCGCAAUGGGCGAAAGCCUGACGGAGCAACGCCGCGUGAGGGAUGAAGGCCUCUGGGCUGUAAACCUCUUUUAUCAAGGAAGAAGAUCUGACGGUACUUGAUGAAUAAGCCACGGCUAAUUCCGUGCCAGCAGCCGCGGUAAUACGGGAGUGGCAAGCGUUAUCCGGAAUUAUUGGGCGUAAAGCGUCCGCAGGCGGUCUGUCAAGUCUGCUGUUAAAGCGUGGAGCUUAACUCCAUUUCGGCAGUGGAAACUGACAGACUAGAGUGUGGUAGGGGCAGAGGGAAUUCCCGGUGUAGCGGUGAAAUGCGUAGAUAUCGGGAAGAACACCAGUGGCGAAGGCGCUCUGCUGGGCCAUAACUGACGCUCAUGGACGAAAGCCAGGGGAGCGAAAGGGAUUAGAUACCCCUGUAGUCCUGGCCGUAAACGAUGAACACUAGGUGUCGGGGGAAUCGACCCCCUCGGUGUCGUAGCCAACGCGUUAAGUGUUCCGCCUGGGGAGUACGCACGCAAGUGUGAAACUCAAAGGAAUUGACGGGGGCCCGCACAAGCGGUGGAGUAUGUGGUUUAAUUCGAUGCAACGCGAAGAACCUUACCAGGGUUUGACAUCCUGC